rnacentral:rRNA from 1 species
UACGUAGGGGGCAAGCGUUGUCCGGAUUUAUUGGGCGUAAAGGGCGCGUAGGCGGCCACGCACGUCCGUUGUGAAAUCGCCCGGCUCAACUGGGCGGGGUCAGCGGAUACGGUGUGGCUCGAGCAAGCUAGGGGGCAAUGGAAUUCCCGGUGUAGUGGUGGAAUGCGUAGAUAUCGGGAGGAACACCAGUGGUGCAAACGGCGCCCUGGGUCCGAACUGACGCUGAAGCACGAAAGCGUGGGGAGCGAACGGG